UACAUGGGGUGCAAACGUUGCUCGGAAUUAUUGGGCGUAAAGCGCACGUAGGUGGUUUGUUAUGUCGGAUGUGAAAGCCCUCGGCUCAACUGAGGAAGUGCAUCCGAAACUGGCAAGCUAGAGUAUGUAAGAGGGUCGCGGAAUUCCCGGUGUAGAGGUGAAAUUCGUAGAUAUCGGGAGGAACACCGGUGGCGAAGGCGGCGACCUGGGACAAUACUGACACUGAGGUGCGAAAGCGUGGGGAGCGAACAGG
rnacentral:rRNA from 1 species